rnacentral:ncRNA from 2 species
AAUAUCAUAUGGACUUUAUGUUCUGAUGUAAAAAUCAGCUAAGAGGGAAGCAGGUGGAAAUCCUGCACGGUCCCGCCACUGUAAGCACGGAAUUUUUAUUCGCAUAUUUAUGCGGCAUGUUAUUCAUGUAUGAUUUUUAAUCGCCACUGGGCAACCGGGAAGGUAAAUAAAAGUGAUGAUGUGUAAGCCAGGAGACCUGCAUAGAGUUUGGAGUUAUA